AGCACGAAGGUUGGCUAAUCCUGGUCGGACAUCAGGAGGUUAGUGCAAUGGCAUAAGCCAGCUUGACUGCGAGCGUGACGGCGCGAGCAGGUGCGAAAGCAGGUCAUAGUGAUCCGGUGGUUCUGAAUGGAAGGGCCAUCGCUCAACGGAUAAAAGGUACUCCGGGGAUAACAGGCUGAUACCGCCCAAGAGUUCAUAUCGACGGCGGUGUUUGGCACCUCGAUGUCGGCUCAUCACAUCCUGGGGCUGAAGUAGGUCCCAAGGGUAUGGCUGUUCGCCAUUUAAAGUGGUACGCGAGCUGGGUUUAGAACGUCGUGAGACAGUUCGGUCCCUAUCUGCCGUGGGCGCUGGAGAACUGAGGGGGGCUGCUCCUAGUACGAGAGGACCGGAGUGGACGCAUCACUGGUGUUCGGGUUGUCAUGCCAAUGGCACUGCCCGGUAGCUAAAUGCGGAAGAGAUAAGUGCUGAAAGCAUCUAAGCACGAAACUUGCCCCGAGAUGAGUUCUCCCUGACUCCUUGAGAGUCCUGAAGGAACGUUGAAGACGACGACGUUGAUAGGCCGGGUGUGUAAGCGCAGCGAUGCGUUGAGCUAACCGGUACUAAUGAACCGUGAGGCUUAACCUUACAACGCCGAAG
rnacentral:rRNA from 1 species